UUAAGCGACUAAGCGUACACGGUGGAUGCCCUGGCAGUCAGAGGCGAUGAAGGACGUGCUAAUCUGCGAAAAGCGUCGGUAAGGUGAUAUGAACCGUUAUANCACUAUCGUUAACUGAAUACAUAGGUUAACGAGGCGAACCGGGGGAACUGAAACAUCUAAGUACCCCGAGGAAAAGAAAUCAACCGAGAUUCCCCCAGUAGCGGCGAGCGAACGGGGAGCAGCCCAGAGUCUGAAUCAGCUUGUGUGUUAGUGGAACGGUCUGGAAAGUCCGACGGUACAGGGUGAUAGUCCCGUACACCAAAAUGCACAGGCUGUGAACUCGAAGAGUAGGGCGGGACACGUGGUAUCCUGUCUGAAUAUGGGGGGACCAUCCUCCAAGGCUAAAUACUCCUGACUGACCGAUAGUGAACCAGUACCGUGAGGGAAAGGCGAAAAGAACCCCGGCGAGGGGAGUGAAAAAGAACCUGAAACCGUGUACGUACAAGCAGUGGGAGCACCUUCGGGUGUGACUGCGUACCUUUUGUAUAAUGGGUCAGCGACUUAUAUUCUGUAGCAAGGUUAACCGUAUAGGGGAGCCGCAGGGAAACCGAGUCUUAACUGGGCGUUAAGUUGCAGGGUAUAGACCCGAAACCCGGUGAUCUAGCCAUGGGCAGGUUGAAGGUUGGGUAACACUAACUGGAGGACCGAACCGACUAAUGUUGAAAAAUUAGCGGAUGACUUGUGGCUGGGGGUGAAAGGCCAAUCAAACCGGGAGAUAGCUGGUUCUCCCCGAAAGCUAUUUAGGUAGCGCCUCGUGAAUUCAUCUUCGGGGGUAGAGCACUGUUUCGGCUAGGGGGUCAUCCCGACUUACCAACCCGAUGCAAACUACGAAUACCGAAGAAUGUUAUCACGGGAGACACACGGCGGGUGCUAACGUCCGUCGUGAAGAGGGAAACAACCCAGACCGCCAGCUAAGGUCCCAAAGUCAUGGUUAAGUGGGAAACGAUGUGGGAAGGCACAGACAGCCAGGAUGUUGGCUUAGAAGCAGCCAUCAUUUAAAGAAAGCGUAAUAGCUCACUGGUCGAGUCGGCCUGCGCGGAAGAUGUAACGGGGCUAAACCAUGCACCGAAGCUGCGGCAGCGACACUAUGUGUUGUUGGGUAGGGGAGCGUUCUGUAAGCCUGCGAAGGUGNNNNNNNNNNNNUGCUGGAGGUAUCAGAAGUGCGAAUGCUGACAUAAGUAACGAUAAAGCGGGUGAAAAGCCCGCUCGCCGGAAGACCAAGGGUUCCUGUCCAACGUUAAUCGGGGCAGGGUGAGUCGACCCCUAAGGCGAGGCCGAAAGGCGUAGUCGAUGGGAAACAGGUUAAUAUUCCUGUACUUGGUGUUACUGCGAAGGGGGGACGGAGAAGGCUAUGUUAGCCGGGCGACGGUUGUCCCGGUUUAAGCAUGUAGGCUGGUUGUCCAGGCAAAUCCGGAUAAUCAAGGCUGAGGUGUGAUGACGAGGCACUACGGUGCUGAAGUAACAAAUGCCCUGCUUCCAGGAAAAGCCUCUAAGCAUCAGGUAACAUCAAAUCGUACCCCAAACCGACACAGGUGGUCAGGUAGAGAAUACCAAGGCGCUUGAGAGAACUCGGGUGAAGGAACUAGGCAAAAUGGUGCCGUAACUUCGGGAGAAGGCACGCUGGUGUGUAGGUGAAGCCCCUGCGGGUGGAGCUGAGACCAGUCGAAGAUACCAGCUGGCUGCAACUGUUUAUUAAAAACACAGCACUGUGCAAACACGAAAGUGGACGUAUACGGUGUGACGCCUGCCCGGUGCCGGAAGGUUAAUUGAUGGGGUUAUCCGUAAGGAGAAGCUCUUGAUCGAAGCCCCGGUAAACGGCGGCCGUAACUAUAACGGUCCUAAGGUAGCGAAAUUCCUUGUCGGGUAAGUUCCGACCUGCACGAAUGGCGUAAUGAUGGCCAGGCUGUCUCCACCCGAGACUCAGUGAAAUUGAACUCGCUGUGAAGAUGCAGUGUACCCGCGGCAAGACGGAAAGACCCCGUGAACCUUUACUAUAGCUUGACACUGAACAUUGAGCCUUGAUGUGUAGGAUAGGUGGGAGGCUUUGAAGCGUGGACGCCAGUCUGCGUGGAGCCAACCUUGAAAUACCACCCUUUAAUGUUUGAUGUUCUAACGUUGGCCCCUUACCGGGGUUGCGGACAGUGUCUGGUGGGUAGUUUGACUGGGGCGGUCUCCUCCCAAAGCGUAACGGAGGAGCACGAAGGUUAGCUAAUCCUGGUCGGACAUCAGGAGGUUAGUGCAAUGGCAUAAGCUAGCUUGACUGCGAGCGUGACGGCGCGAGCAGGUGCGAAAGCAGGUCAUAGUGAUCCGGUGGUUCUGAAUGGAAGGGCCAUCGCUCAACGGAUAAAAGGUACUCCGGGGAUAACAGGCUGAUACCGCCCAAGAGUUCAUAUCGACGGCGGUGUUUGGCACCUCGAUGUCGGCUCAUCACAUCCUGGGGCUGAAGUAGGUCCCAAGGGUAUGGCUGUUCGCCAUUUAAAGUGGUACGCGAGCUGGGUUUAGAACGUCGUGAGACAGUUCGGUCCCUAUCUGCCGUGGGCGCUGGAGAAUUGAGGGGGGCUGCUCCUAGUACGAGAGGACCGGAGUGGACGCAUCACUGGUGUUCGGGUUGUCAUGCCAAUGGCACUGCCCGGUAGCUAAAUGCGGAAGAGAUAAGUGCUGAAAGCAUCUAAGCACGAAACUUGCCCCGAGAUGAGUUCUCCCUGAGACUUUAAGUCUCCUGAAGGAACGUUAAAGACGAUGACGUUGAUAGGCCGGGUGUGUAAGCGCAGCGAUGCGUUGAGCUAACCGGUACUAAUGAACCGUGAGGCUUAACCUU
rnacentral:rRNA from 1 species